rnacentral:lncRNA from 1 species
GGGAGAGCACGGUGGGCGGGGCCACCCGCAACGCCCGCAGCUCCUCCACCUCGCGCUGCAAGCGGCGGUUCUCCUCCGUCAGCGACCCGAAGCACCGUUUCAGGUACUCGCACUCCAUCUCCGUCUGCUUCAGCUUAGUCCUGCAUCCCCAAGCGAUGCUCAUUAACUCCCGAGUCGAAAGAGAACAAGGCGGAGGGGAUUCAUGACUCACCUGGCCCGGCGGUUCUGGAACCACACCUCCACCUGGCGCGGCCUCAGCUUCAGCUUCAUUGCCAACGCCUCCUUCUGCUUCUGCCGUUUCGUUCAUUUACGUCGUCAUUACAUCACCCAGAAAAUGGCAACAAAAUGCGCAUUAAUCGCAAGGCUUUCAACAAGCAGGCACUCUUAUUGCAUCCAUCAGUAUGAAGUUGAGAAGAAGAUGGCCAGAAAUUACUACCACGAAAGCACAGAACGCUGCAUGCAAAGAAUAAGAGAGGAGGCUUACUGGGUUCAAGGUGUGAUGCUGCCUAAAACUCUCUUCCAGCAGCCUCGACUGCUCCUUGGAGAGCCGGAGCUUCUUGGGCCGGGGGUUCCCACCCUCCUCUUCCUCUUCUUCUAUGCUGGCCAUGGGGUACUCCUCCUCCCCACCAUAAGCUGGCUGGUUUAUGUCCAGGUCUCUCAUGUUGCAACCUCCCCCUCCUGAGAGCCCAAGAAAUGCAACAACAUAUCACAUUCCACUGAUACAGAAGAAGAAGAAGAAGAAG